UUAGUGGCUGUAUUAAAUCGUGAAACAAAUGCCAAGCUGUUGCAUGCGAAGAUAUCGAUAGGGAGGAAAGAUGUUUGAACAGAGUGGCAAGGCCAAAAUUUAAGGGGAAAAGUUAGCGAAGAGUGGCGCCACCUGGUCCUGGAGAGUGAGAGUUCCGCGCGCUCUCCGGAGCCGUUAUGAGAGAGGAUUUCCGAUCUCAUCCCAUAACGGAGUCCCGAAGCCAACUCACCCACACCCCACAGAAAGAGAGCCGCCAGCAGCCCGAAUCAGGCCAUGACCUUGAACCUAGUUCAAGGGCGAUAGAAAAGAGAGCGAUGGGGGAUCAGCGGCCCGGGAGCAUUAAACAGAGCAGCUAAGCCAAGAGGGGGUUCAGAGAAAGAAAUUCCCGCAACGGAGGAGCAUGCGCGCUGGUCAUAGUGAUCUAGUGAUAUUUUUAGUUUGAAAGAAAAAGGGAUCAAGAUCAGUGAAACACCAGGAAUUCUAGAGCUGACCAGCGGGACGGAAAGUAGACCCAAAAAGCACAAGAGUGAGUCCGCUCCAAAGGGGGAGUAAAGAAACCCCAAAUUUAUUAUUUUUGUUGGCAAAUCCAUAGGGAAUAGGCCACAGCUCCGCCAUCCUGGCUUGGUUUUGCUGGUCUCGAAGGAACUCUUCUGGCCACGUAGUGCGGGUUCCCUCGCUCAUUUAGGGAGAAAAAAAAGCACCAAUUAACUUAUUUACUCCCAUUAUUUAUUUUUGUUAGAUGUCUCCAUUUAUAUGUAUAUGUUAAUCCCCUAAUUUAAGUCCGCCCAUAUUAUAUCUAUAUGUAAUUUAUUUAUAUUUAUUAUAUUAAGAUUAAGACGAGGGGGGAAUGAAUAGGCAGGCUUAGUGUAGCGAUGAUAACGUGUAAAAGCAGGAAAUUGAAGUGAGAAUUAUAACGAAGGAAAUGAAUUGCUAAGCGUUUCAUAUGGGGGGAA